rnacentral:lncRNA from 1 species
UAGCAGAUCAGCUCACAGAGCAACAGAUGUGGCCCACACCCAUUCAAGGGAGAGAGAAAAAAAAAACACAUUGCGCAUGGGUCUCCAACUUAACACUACUGUCAACUUAACAGCAAAACAGUUGCACAAAAUCCUCAAGGAAAGGGAGUUAAAGGAAAACUUAUUGCUUGACUUGGAAUUGUAUUGACUGACAUCAUCAUGAAGGCAUCAACCACAGCGGGUCCGGCGUUACCAAUGACAUCGCCAGAAACAUUCGAACAAGGAAUCAUUGAGGUUGUCACCCGUCUGGUCACACAGAAUUUCACAGAACACUUCACACAACCCUUCAGAGCUGUGGGAGCCGCCAACGUAGAUGAUGGAUCCUUUGAAGCCAUUAUUUUCGGAGGAGGAAUUUUUGCGCUGCUCCUGGCGCUGCUCCUGGCGUUGCUGGUACUGCGCUACAUUGUCAAGCAUAAGGGCACUUACCACACCAAUGAGGCCGAGUGUGGUGAUUCUGUCGACAAGUAUGGCAGGGACUCUCAAAGCGAGCAGGUUCAACUAGAGAUUUUGGACAAGGACGAAUAGAAAGAAGAAUACUUCAUUUGAAACAGGACUUUUUCCGUUUCUAAACCAGGGCCAAUAUUUUCUAUGGAAUUGGAAAUGCCUAUGAUGGUCAUCUAAUUUCAAGACAACAUUUAUAUGGGGCCUACAACCAUCUCAGCUCUGCAGAUAUUGUUACGAAGAGACAAAAUAAUUACAUCACUUAUUUUUGUAUUGCCCAUAUAGUAUAUACACUAUAUACGCAAAAGUAUGUGGACACCCCUUCAAAUUAGUGGAUUGGCUAUUUCAGCCACAUUACAGCCUUAUUCUACAGCUUUAUUUCCCUCAUCAGUCUACAUAAAAUCUCAUAAUGACAAAGUAAAAACAGGUUUUUAUCAAUUUUUGCAAAUGUAUAAAAAAAAAAUUCUGAAAUAUCACAUUUACAUAAGUAUUCAGAUCCUUUACUCAGUACUUUGUUGAAGCACCUUUGGCAGUGAUUACAACCUUGAGUCUUGGGUAUGACGCUACAAGCUAGGCACACCUGUAUUUGGGGAGUUUAUCCCAUUCUUCUCUACAAAUCCUCUCAAGCUCUGUCAGGUUGGAUGGGGAGAGUUGCUGCACAGCUAUUUUCAGGUCUCGGGUUCAAGUCCGGGCUUUGGCUGGGCCACUCAAGGACGUUUAGAGGCUUGUCCCAAAGCCACUCCUGCAUUGUUUUGGCUGUGUGCUUAGGGUCGUUGUCCUGUUGGAAGGUGAACCUUCACCCCAGUCUAAGGUCCUGAGUGCUUCAUCAAUGAUCUCUCUGUACUUUGCUCAGUUCAACUUUCCCACGAUCCUGACUAGUCUCCCAGACCCUGCCACUGAAAGAUAUCCCCACAACAUGAUGCUGCCACCAUCAUGCUUCACCGUAGGGAUGGUGUCAGGUUUAAUCCAGACGUGACGCUUGGCAUUCAGGCCAAAGAGUUCAAUCUUGGUUUCAUCAGACGAGAGAAUCUUGUUUCUCAUGGUCUGAGAGUCCUUUAGGGGCUUUUAUUGGGCAAACUCCAAGCGAGCUGUCAUGUGCCUUUUACUGAGGAGGGGCUUCCGUCUGGCCACUCUACCAUAAAAGCCUGAUUGGUGGAGUGCUGCAGAGAUGAUUGUCCUUCUGGAAGGUUCUCCCAUCUCCACAGAGCAACUCUGGGGCACUGUCAGAGUGACCAUCGGGUACUUGUUUACCUCCCUGACCAAAGCCCUUCUCCCCCUUUUGCUCAGUUUGACCGGGCGACUAGCUCUAGGAAGAGUCUUGGUGGUUCCAAACUUGUUCCAUUUAAGAAUGAUGGAGGCCACUGUGUUCUUGGGGACCUUCAAUGCUGCAGAAAUGUUUUGGUACCCUUUCCCAGAUCUGUGCCUCGACACAAUCCUGUCUCAGAACUCUAUGGACAAUUCCUUCGACCUCAUGGCUUGGUUUUUGCUCUGAAAAGCACUGUCAUCUAUAGACAGGUGUGUGCCUUUCCAAAUCAUGUCCAAUCAAUUGAAUUUAUCACAGAUGGACUCCAAUCAAGUUGUAGAAACAUAUCAAGGAUGAUCAGUGGAAACAGGAUGGACCAGAGCUCAAUUUCGAGUCUCAUAACAAAGGGUCUGAAUACUUAUGUAACAUUAGAGUGUCUAGUUUGAGAAACAGACGUCUCACAAGUCCUCAACUGGUAGCUUCAUUAAAUAGUACCAGCAAAACACCAGCCUCAACCUCAACAGUGAAGAGGCGACUCCGGGAUGCUGGCUUUCUAGGCCAAGUUGCAAAGAAAAAGCCAUAUCUCAGACUGGCCAAUAAAAGUAAAAGAUUAAGAUGGGCAAAAGAACACAGACACUGGACAGAGGAACUCUGUCUAGAAGGCCAGCAUCCCAGAGUCGCCUCAUCACUGUUUAUGUUGCUCAGUUGUGCACCAGGGCCUCCCACUCCUCUUUCUAUUCUGGUUAGAGACAGUUUGCACUGUUCUGUGAAGGGAGUAGUACACAGUGCUGUACGAGAUCUUUAGUUUCUUGGCAAUUUCUCGCAUGGAAUAGCCAUCAUUUCUCAGAACAAGAAUAGACUGACGAGUUUCAGAAGAAAGUAAUUUUUUCCGGCCAUUUUGAGCCUGUAGUCAAAGCCACAAAUGCUGAUGCUCCAGAUAUUCAACUAGUCUAAAGAAGGCCAGUUGUAUUGCUUCUUUAUCAGAACGACAGUUUUCAGCUGUGCGAACAUAAUUACAAAAAAGUUUUCUAAUGAUCAAUUAGCCUUUUGAAAUGAGAAACUUGGAUUAGCUAACACAACGUGCCAUUGGAACACAGGAGUGAUGGUUGCUGAUAAUGGGCCUCUGUACGCCUAUGUAGAUAUUCCAUAAAAAAUAUGCCGUUUCCAGCUACAAUAGUCAUUUACAACAUUAACAAUAUCUGCACUGUAUUUCUGAUCAGUUUGAUGUUAUUUUAAUGGACAAAAAAAAAUGCUUUUCUUUCAAAAACAAGGAAAUUCUAAGUGACCCCAAACUUUUGAACGGUAGUGUAUGCUCAAAGUAUUAACAUCCCAAAAUACUGUAUCGGUGACUAAAUGUGGUCAAGUUUAUGUUGAAGAUAAUUCAUGUCUGUUGUUUUAUCACAUGAAAAUGCCAUUCGAUUAGGUGUGGGUAUGUAUCAAGCUACACAUUUGAUACAUUUGCACAGUCAUUAAUUAAAUCAGCCAAACUCUUUUUUCCCAAUUAAGAGUUUACUUGUAUACCCAGUCGAAAAAUCUGAUUAUUCAACACAACAUCUGAGUUCAGGAAACCAAGAUAUAGGGGCAAAUGUUGUCACUUCAAUAGUGUGUGUUAACGAGAUUUAGAAGCUUAUGGAGGAUUUUGUGUUUUCUAUUUUCAUCAAGCUAGAAUAGAGCAAUGCAGUGCCCGAGGCUGCUGAAGGGCAGUUCUGAAUCCUUGAGUAGCGCCAGGCAGCACUAUGUGGGUUUAAUGCAAUUCGAACAACCCCAGAAACGUUCCUGCAGAACUGAGCCAGCACACUUUGCAAAAAAAACAUUGUGCCUCUGGGAAAUCGUUUUACUCUAAUUGCGCAUUAUUCUUGGUUGGGAUACAAGACAAUACAAGCCAAUCUCAAGAUCAUACAUCACCUGAUCUACGAGCUGGCAAAGAGCACUUACUUUUGGCCAUUUGAUUGCAAGUUGAAAGUAUUUCUUUCCAUUUGUCUUCCUAAUCAAAGUAUGGGACAAUUGCUAACCUUUCUCCAAACAGAUUUUUCCUUCAAUUCUCUAAUCAAGUCCAACUUCAAAGCCAGUGACUCAGCGUGUGUUUGAGUGCAGUAGCUUGAGUGCUCUGUCUGAUUGAGGUAAAGACAAUGAAGCCAUUGAGACAUCUAUCCAACUGCCGUCCUCACCGACAACAUAUCAAAUCCUAUUGAUCAGAGAGGAAAACACUUACAAAAUAUGUGCCCCAAAUGGCACCCAAUUUCUUCUUUAGUGCACUAGGCUACUUUUGACCAGGGCCCUAUGGGGGAAUAGGGUGCUAAAUAGGGAAUAGGGUGCCACUUGGGACCCGGCCGUGACUUCACCAGGGCCACUGACACCUCUCGAGGAGAUUAACAACUUUUCUAAAAGAGUUAUUCCAGGGUCACUGAAGCCAUAGCUUGGCCUAGACAGCUAUAUAGAAGCACCAAGUGCUUGAAAGGCAAUAAUCAGGAAGUCAGCCUUGCAACCAGCCGCACUUCCCGUUCAAUGUAUUUUUAUGAUUAGAAAUCAAAUAACAGUUCAAAAGACACCCAUCGUGUUCUCUUACAAUUGUAUCCCAGCUUUCCUCCUGGCCUUGGUGUGCAGAGAACAUUCUUUUUUAUUGUGACAAUAAGCCAUACUUUGAUAUGGCCCUGAAGGCAUCAACAUAAAUUCCUCUCAUCCCGACUGCUCUGUGAAGCUUGAACAAUGGCAAAGCCGAAAGCUGGUGACUUUUCCAUCUCUUCUCCUACUGUCGACAAAAUGGCAUAAAAUACAAAUACAUGCUAGCAUUCUCCAUGGAUGAAUGUGGCAUGCGACUGUACUCACCUAAAGACAUCAACGAUGAAAACACUUUGAAUUUCUUUUGAACAAUGUAGCUACCUCACUCUCUUUGAGUUGUAGCUAAUUCCAGUAAAAGAGGAUACAGUACAUUAAUUAAUGAAUGACUUGACUUGGAAGCCCAUGGUACCGUAGUCUGAGUUGUGUAGAUUAUCUCCCUUGUUAGACAAUAGGCUAAGUCUUGGGUGCGUCCCAAACAGCACCCAUAGAGCUCUAGUCAAAAGUUGUGCACUACAGAAUGUACAGGAAAUAGGCUGCCAUUUGGGACGGAGACCUGGAUGUGUUCAGACAAAUGGAAGAAGAAUGGGAACAGGAAAUUCAUUGAAUCAUCUUGUCAUUGAAUCAUCUUCUUAGAAUAUCCCCAUGGCUUACAAUAUGCACGCUCCCAAAUGCAACCCUAUUCCCUGGUCCCUGGUCAAAAGUAGUGCAUUGCGUAGGGAUUAGGGUGCCAUUUGGGAUGCACUUUUAAGGUUCUGGGGCUCUUGAGAAAGGAGAGUUUUGCAUAAUACAGCAGCAAUAAAACAGAAAAUGCUAAAUUCCAGCUCAUCCAAGUGUUGCUCUAUUGUAUUCUUCAGCGAAUAUCCUAUAAGCUAUAAUGAAGAUAUGUGACUUAGCCCCUGACAUGGCAAGCUUCCUAGGAGAAAGGACUUCCAUUCCAGACUCAAUUACUAUUGCAAUACGUUUCCGCUAUGGAUAUUGAAUAUUGCAAGAUAAGCAGGUCUCGCAAAAUUGCUAGCACAAAGUCUGCGCCGGGGUUUAUGCUAAGGCUUUUUACGCUUCUGUUCAAAGGUGCAUUGGGAAGGUUAUGAAGUACAUUUUUGGGGGGGGGCAGGGUUACAGGAAUAAAUAAUACAGUACCUGCCUGUGAAGAUGGAUGCUUCAUUGUUACAGCCAGGAAUAGUUCCUGCACUCAGCACUUCUCCAAAGAAGUGAAUGUCAAACUUGUGAAUGUCAAACUUGCAGGGGAUCCCCAACAGAGCAGCGUUAGAGAACUGUUCAACCAACUCAGUGUUAAAGAUGAAAUCCGCAUAAGGUGAAACAGCGCCAUUGUUAGCCCUCAGUGCAUUUGUCAUGAUUUUUGUUCUGUUGAUGAAACAGAGUAGAGGAGCAUCCAGUAUCGUGGUAAAACAAUAUUCCAGUACAUACUCUGUGUUCUAUCGCACGUGCAAUGAUGUGCAACGAUGUCAGCGGGGGAAAAAAACUGUGUUCGUAGUUUGAAGUAACUUCUUUGUUGUUGUAAUAUCGCAAACGGACAUGGCCGUUUCACCAAGUACGAAUUCCAGCUUUAAAACAGUGUUCAACCAAUGAAGUGUUAAAACAGUUUUUAGAAGAAUUCACAAGCUUGUAAUUGCAAAACUAGGCAGAAAUGAAGAAGAAAAGUGAUUCAGAAAAGAGGGAACAAAUGGUGUUAUUCUUUGAACCGCUUUUAAUUAAGUCUGUUCCUUUCUGUUUACUUUGAUGAAUCAUUGUUUCCCUAUUAGGCUCACUGUACCAAAGAGAGCUGCAUCUCCAUAAAACUAAAGGAGACAUCAUCCCCAUUAACAACUGUUACUAAUUGAUAUACCUAUAGUUUGGUUUUGAAAGAUUCAUACAACACAAGAACAGUACACUGCCCUCUGAUCCCAGAGGGCAGUGUCUCCAAGAAUACUGUCUCCAAGGAGGCUGCCUGCCUGCCUGUAUACCUGCCUUCUUGCCUUGAUGCCUGUGUGGCUGGCUUCCUGUACAGAUAGCCUAGCAGGAGGGAGCCUGCCUCUGCCUGCCUGCCUCUCAGCCUGCCUCUCUGCCUGCCUCUCUGCUUGGUGCACUCAGCAGUAAGAGGUGAUAUAGGCCUAAUCAUUAUUACUCUAUAAUAACUGAUAAAUAAUCCUCAUAUGAACGGUCACUAGGGGAAAUUGGCUUUUGUUAUUUCAUGUCUAACCGCAUUGCACCUACAGAAACCCAAUUAGCAAAACAAGUCAGCCAGCACUGAAUCAUCGGCAGGUAGUCUGCUAGGCUAUAUUGUCAUGAACAAACUACUGGAAUUCUGUUUGUGUAUAUAUGAAUGGGUUACUUUGGGUCCUAGAGUAUGUUAACUUUUUUAAUGUACUGUAGUUCCAUCCAUUAAAAAAAUUAUAAUAAUAAUUACUGAUUUUUGAGUACAGGCAUACCAUUGAAAUGUCUCUGUACUUUCUUCUCUCUCUCAGUGUGAGAAGCCAGUUCCGAGUUUCAGUUCUCUUUCCAGACUUAGUUGUUGUGACAAACAUUUGACCAGAUAAUUCAGUUCCCUGGGUGUAAUUACUCAGUUGACUGCAGGCACAUUUAGAUUUAAUUAAAAGUGAGAGUCCAAUAUCACUUGUCAUUGCACCUGACACCCUGGCGUUAACUUUGCAGCUUUGCAUUCAUUAGAGCAGGCAGUCAUUUUGUCACAUCUCCUUUGGAAUUGCCUAAAGUUGUAUCUUAUUUACAGCAUAAUCCUACCAGAUAUAAUAUAGUGCACAUCCUUAGGCAUGAAAGUAACAAAACUGAGGUGGGUAUGUGUGUGUGUGUGUCUGUGUGUGUGUGUGUGU